CACGUCUGUCCCGGAAGUGAUGUUAGGCAGGGUGUCUGUGGCUGCCAGCUGCUGGGAAAGGCCUGGGGCUGAACGGUUUUAUCGGGAGCCACGGUGAGUGGGACAGAACGGGGGGAGUGCGGACACUGCUUUAACACAGGAGCAGCCAUGGUGGGAGAGGAAAGUGUCAGGGCUGUAAACCUCCUGUACCCCACCCUUAUAACAACAUGCAGCCUCUCAAAGAGCUGCCCCCUAACCACAAACCAUAACCACUGCAUGGGUACAGACAGGGGACCCACCCCCUAACCACAAACCAUAACCACUGCAUCUGUACAGACAGGGGACCCACCCCCUAACCACAAACCAUAACCACUGCAUGGGUACAGACAGGGGACCCACCCACUAACCAUAACCACUGCAUGGGUACAGACAAGGGACCCACCCCCUAACCACAAACCAUAACCACUGCAUGGGUACAGACAGGGGACCCACCCACAAACCAUAACCACUGCAUCUGUACAGACAGGGGACCCACCCCCUAACCACAAACCAUAACCACUGCGUGUGUACAGACAGGGGACCCACCCUCUAACCACAAACCAUAACCACUGCGUGGGUACAGACAGGGGACCCACCCACUAACCAUAACCACUGCGUGGGUACAGACAGGGGACCCACCCACUAACCAUAACCACUGCAUGGGUACAGACAGGGGACCCACCCCCUAACCACAAACCAUAACCACUGCAUGGGUACAGACAGGGGACCCACCCUCUAACCACAAACCAUAACCACUGCAUGGGUACAGACAGGGGACCCACCCUCUAACCACAAACCAUAACCACUGCAUGGGUACAGACAGGGGACCCCCCCUUACCACAAACCAUAACCACUGUGUGGGUACAGACAGGGGAUCCCUCCCUGACCACAAACCACAACCACUGUGUGGGUACAGACAGGGGAUACUCUCAACCACACACCACAACCACUAUGUGGGUACAGACAGGGGAUCCCCCCAACCACACACCACAACCACUGUGUGGGUACAGACGGGGGACAUCAGUGUUGUCAUAAUGUUUAUGAAGUGUGACAUGGCACCAUGUACAGGGGCAUGACUGUCAAAACUUUAUAGAAUGUUCUUAUUACCUUGCUAACUUUGUCACUGUCCUGAGAUAAAUGUGUAUUAACUACAGUAUUCUUACAAGUGGCAGCAGUGCUCUGAUGCUUUCUUUGAAUACAGGCCAGUCAAAGUCUAUUUACAUUAUGUAUUUACAUUCUUAUGUUGAUGUUUGCUUUUGCAAGCAUCAUAUUGCAGUUUCCAACCGAUUCAGUUCUCCCCUUCAGACUGCUGUAUGGCAUUGUGUAAAUACACAAGGUUGGUUUUGUGUUGUAUUAUGAAACAGGAAUAUGUGGUCAUUACUUUUAACAGUUACACGUAAAUACAUCGACUCAGCAUCUGAAGUAAAGUUUAAACUGAGGCUAUUUCUUUCUUAAACUGAGGCUGUUUUAUUCUGUGCUAAACCAAGCUGAGUUGCUUGUAACUGCUGUUUAUGUACAUCUCUGUGCAAUGAGUGACAAGCCAACUUAUUAGGUGUGAUAUUGGAUGCUUUACUGUGCCCAAGAGUUUGCUAUAGCUCAGUAAAAAAAGCACGGUUACAAAUAUAAUAAAUUUGAUAAAUCACUGAUAUCACUAAUUAGAUGCAGGAUACACUGAUUGUCACAUCCAGUUCUCAUAUGAGGACCCAUAUGACAUGGACAUUUAUGUAGCAUUAUCUGAUAUUUUACUGAUUGAGCCCAGUAAAUAUUGCAGCUAUGUUCCUUUAGUCUUAAAGGGUUACUUCAACCAAUAUAAGUGUUUUCAUAAGACAUUGAUUUUUGGUUAGAGUAACCUUUUUCUGAGGUGAUCUCCCCCACAACUUAAAACAAGAAAUCCCACAAAUAUGAGAUAUACAGAGUCCGUCACCAAGUCUUAGUUCUUCCCUCAGCCCAACUGUCCUUGGCUGACGUUCAUGGAGUAACCCUUUAAUGGAAUUUUCAACAAACAUUAGACUCUGUUUGUGAACAGAAGCAGAGACAGUAAUUCACAGCCAAUGUUUACUAAUCUAAUGAUUAGUCUUAAAUAUUGACUGUGCUUUCUCUGCAGUAAAAAUUCUCCUUGGUUAGUUGAGACCAAAGCUAGUUUCCUUUCUUGCUGUCUGGAAAACGGCUUUGGAUUUGGCGGUGGUUGCUGAACUCUGGGGUACUCACUUUUCUGUCUGGCUGAUUUCCUUUGAUUUAAGGCUUACUAUAAGUUUCAAAGGUCUGCCGUUUUAAAGAAGUUGAUACUCGCUAGUCUUAAAUGUCUAUAGUACAUUUUAUGUUUAAGAUCCCAAUUGACUGAGACUAAAAAUGUAGCUGAUGUUGUGUCUUUUCCGAUUUGAUUUACCAAAGGGUGGAUUUAAAUAAUAUAAACUUCAAUAAGGCAUCCGUCAUUUGAUACAAGUGAUUUUACACUAGUUUGGACAUGACUCUUGCUUUUUCAACCUGUUUUGGUGAACUUGUUGAAAAAUAAUGGGGAGCAUCCAUGACUGUUCUCACAAAAAAAGUGACUUAGUGUAACCAUUCAAAAGUUGAUAAAAGCCAGCAAGCGGAGCUUCAGUACCUAGACCGGCGCACCGCAGGAAUCAAGGUAAGUAAACUCACCUUUUAAAUGUUCACAGGAGCAGGGGGAAGUUGCAACCUAUAGGAAAUGGAACACUAUAUUGUUACACAUUUACAUUUCUAUUUCUAACACUGUAGUGUUUGUUUUAAAUGCAUGCAUGUUUUCAUUUGGGGUAUAUCUACUAAACAGUGGUCUUUAUACUCCUGGGCUUUUGUUUGCAAAGGGUAUGUGUUUAUUGGGAAAUUUAAAUUCCUAACCUGAUAAAAGAGGCUCCCUGCAUGGUCAUGAUGGCUGGCGGGUUGGCCAGUCUGUCAGUGGGCAGGCCUGUGACACUGCACAUCCCAUACCAAUUCCAUAUCUCAUUGUUGUGAGCUAUAACGCUCUAUAAAUGCUACCAACCACUAACAGUCUGCAAAUACAAAGGGCUAAAUAAUCGAAAAUUGAAUUAAAUACAUUCUCUCAUAUAUAACGUAACAGUGCUGUUUUCACUUUAAUAUCAUUUGUAACUUGCUUUGUGAGCAGAUGUUAAGAUUCUUGUAUCCUUCUCUUUACAGUUGUGGUUACAUAGUUAACCACAAGCAGUGAAAGUGGUGAUGAAAAAAAAAAAAAAACUUUCUCCAAAAAGUAAAUAAACUAAUAGAUUAAAAUGUGUCUGCCCUUACUGUUGUCAGUCACUUUAAGGAUAACCCUUUUUAAAAUAUAAAGAUAAUAUUUUAUAGCCUUCAUUUGCUUUGAAAAAGCAAUUUUAUGUAAUGCUACAUGUAUAAUUUCUGGUUAGAAUAAAACUAGAUUUGACAAAUAUUGAUGUAAUACUUUUCCCCCCCGAGUCAUCUGCUGAUGUGAAACAAACCAUUAAAUAUGUCUGUAAAAUGAUUAUGGCUAGAAAAUACUCAUUUGAUGUGUAACUGUUUCUUUGUUUUAUGGUUUAAUUUUCAGCGGGUUAGAGAAGACACAAUGAAUGCAAUAACCUAGCACUUCACCCCCUUGAGGGAUACAAUAGGAUGGAGAAGCAAAUACAAGGUGGCAUUGAAAAGAGUGCCUCUUCACAACAUUGCAAUGAAGGCAUGGAAGAAAGGAAUGGUACAUAUUUCUCUGUGCCAGGAAAUUGUUAUUCUGCAAAACACAAUUUGAAAGCCAGUUCAGAACAAAAUGGCACAGGACUGACCACAGGGAGAUUUGGUAAUCACACCUUUUUUGUGCCGAAGCACACAGACUUCCCAAAUUUAAACCUUGGCAAGGAACAGCAAACACACGAGCACUUUGUGAAGGAAGAUGAUGUAUGGACUAAGGAAUUCCUUUCAGAAGAGAGACUUGAAAAUGUUUUAGCAUCUGAGUUAAAUGAUAGGUUUGAAUGCCAACUAAUGCCAGAGACUACACAGUGUACUCACAGUGAGUCACUACCACCCUUUAAACUCGAAUGUGGAUGUGUCACUGAUAAUACAGGUUCAUCUGGUGGCACUUACUCUGACAUUGCUGACCACUCUUGUAGGAGAGGUUGUCAUCCAUUUUCUUCAUAUCAGCAACGUCCAUUGGAUGGGGAAGGGGUUGAAGAUGGAGUGCUUGGGAAGCAAAUGGAAGCUGAUGAGGAUUCUAUCAAGGUAGCAGGUGGAAGGAGGGGAGCUCGUAAAGGGAGAACACGUGUUAAUCUCAAAGAGGACUCUAGAAGGGAUGGCCGGCAACAUACAUUCUCUGGUAGCAAGCAUAAGCUAGGUCGAAAGAAAAGCCAUGGUGAUGGGAGGUCUAUUCUGAAAUCCAUAAUUCCUCAACCCUUAAUUCUGCUUUCAACUACCUGUGUCCAGUUACUUAUUGAUUUGGUGCUCCUGAUUGGGAAGUAUGUAGAGAUGUUUGGCACGCGACUAUAUACUUCAGUAUUGCUGCCAGCUAGUGACCUAGGCCUUUUGAAAAUCCAGCUGCAAACAUUUGGGGUCUGGGCACGCCAUCGUGUAAAGGACUCUUGGCAUAUGAUUUGCUCAUUUGGAUUAUGGCUUUUGCGUGUUCUGAAAAUGCUAUGUGCUCUACUCUUCCUGCUUUUAAUGCUUGCUGUGGGUUGUGCCAGACUUUGUUGGCAAUACAUUAAGAGAGCUGCUGAACGAGUAGGAGGACAUAACAACUGUGCAUCUUGUAUCUCCGUAAGAUUACGCAGGAUAUGGGCCUUAAUAACACAAAACAGGACCUUUAGCCGUUUAGUUAGCCCUCUCAGGAAAUUGAAAUCAAGAUUAUGGAGGUUAAGGGUGGAAAAAGAAACAUCAUGGGCCACAGCAGGAUCUCCAACCACAGGUCGGUAUCAGCCUGGGGAGGAAGUGGAACGUCUAUUAACAAUGGCGGACAUUCCAGAGGAGGAGUUAAACCCAUUUCAGGUGUUGGGUGUAGAAAUUAAUGCUUCUGAAACCGAGCUUAAAAAGGCAUAUCGGCAGCUGGCUGUUUUGGUAGGUAACAUGUUUUUCCAUGAAAGCAGAUCUGUUUUUAGUUUUUGUAAAAUUCUUCUCGCAACCUGUCUCCUUUUUGUCACAACUUGAGCCAUCAGAUUACUCAGCAGAGGAAGUGCUGGCAGGAAAAUUAAACUUUAGGAAAAAAGUAAAUAAAUUUUACACAAUUUAAAUGAUGAUACACAUCAGGAAAAUGAAACACAGCCAUAAUGUAAGGGGAGAAUUUUAUUAUGAAAAAAGUAAUGACCUUACAAUUCCAUGAGCUUCUCUAUCUUCUUCUGUGUUCUACUGAAACAUGAGUCUUAAAGGUAUCUCCUGCAUGAUUAUCAAAGUCAUAAAUUAGAAUAAAGGGAAAAACUCUGCUUUAAUUAUUGUUGCUAGUUAUCACAUCACCCACAAUGAAAACCAGUAAUCCCAUCUAAAACUUAACCUGGCUUAGUCAUUUUUACUUUAUUUUUUUUGUAUACAUUUUUAUUUUAAGCUUUAAAUAAAUGCUGUGCAUGCGCCUUUCAGGUAGUUACUCAGUCAUGACUUUUUGAGUGUGUGUAUGUAUGUGUAUACACAAUGUGAAUUACCACAUGAUGCCUUUUCCUACUUAGUCCAUAUUAAGCAUUUAUUUAAGGGUUUGAAAAUGCAGACUGCUUAUAUUGGUGGAUUUGUUAUAUUCAUUUUUUUUUUUUUUUUCCUCCUGCCUUUAUCUCCAUAGGUCCACCCAGACAAAAAUAAUCAUCCUCGUGCAGAAGAAGCUUUCAAAAUAUUGCGUGCUGCAUGGGACACAGUAAGCAAUCCUGAGAAACGCAGAGAGUAUGAAAUGUAAGAAUUGAUAUGGUAACACAAAGUUUGAGAAAUAAAGUAAGACUUAAUCUCUUUCAAAGCAAAUACAUCUCAAUAUCGUACAAUUACUCUUUAGACCAGGGGUGCCUAAAAGCUAGACCCCCAGAUGUUUUAAAACUACAGCUCCCAUGAUACCUUGUUAUUCUAAAGUGCAUACAAAGAAUCUUGGGAAUUGAUUCCACCACAUCUGGGGAUAUACCUUUUGGGUACCCUUGCUUUAGACACUACUCACUGUCAAAUGAACAAUCCAAGCACCAUAACCAGUACAACCUCUUGUAGCGAUUAUGGUGCCAGGAAUUCACUGGCAACAUCCCACAGUAAGAUGCCAGACCAUUUUAGCAUGGUUUCACAAUUUACCUGAGUACCACCAAGUGUCCAGUCCUCAUCUCGUCUUCUCAAACAGGACAGAACAAACGGGAUGUUAUUGUAGAGCAGUGCAGGGAUGCAGUCAUUGGCUUAAAGCAUCAGCUGAGUUCUAUCUUUCCUGCUCUGCUCUAAAGAGACAUCUGGCUUCUCCUGAUGGAAAAGACAGGAUGCUAUGCAGGCUCCUGGCAGAACCCAUGUCAGCUGGGCACUCCAGGGAUUAUAACCCUUGCUGUGGGCUAUAACCGUUAUGGUGUUUGGAGUGUCCAUUUAACGAAUUUCCCCAAGCAUAAUUCUUAAGAAGAUAAUCCACUUACAGGCCGUUACAAAGUCGAUCGUAACGACUUUGUUAGGACUCCAUUAUCAUGAUUGAUUGAAGAGCAUUUGUUGAUAUGACCUGAUAAGCAAGCAUUAUGAGGUAUCAUGAUCUGUGUAUGUUUUGUACACAACACACAAAAGAUCCUACAAACAAGAUGAGGAAUGAAAAAUUAUCCAACUACACACACUGCAUGUAGAAAUCACAGCUGUACAUUUGACUUUGCCACUUGAAUAACUUUGCAUACUUCACAUUGAUCAGUGAAGCAUCACCGAUAACAAUCACAGAUUUGUGGAUUAAUGAAGAAGUCCAGGUUUUGAAUGUAAAACCAUUAAUAUUAAAAUCGUAGUUGUUCAGUUUGCUUGGCUGGCUGCCUCAAAAUGAGAAAGGUCCUUCCGACUUUUGCUUUCAUGUAUAAACACAUCCAUCACUGUCUCAACAAGCAUUAUUUGUCUUCACUGUUGCAUCUCCUUCAAUUUUAGGAAGCGAAUGUCAGAAACAGAGCUGGCUAAGUCCAUGAAUGAGUUCCUUACCAAGCUGCAGGAUGACCUAAAGGAAGCUAUGAAUAGCAUGAUGUGCAGCAAGUGUCAGGGGAAACACAGGUACAAUGUAGUCUUUUAUCUGAAAAUGCAAUUCCACUGAUCAGAAUGUGCCUAUUUCAUGAGGAUCUGAAAGUACUUGCCAAGCAGGGUUCUUAUCAACUAUCUGGAAUUCAAAGUGUUAAGAAUAUGGAAUGGUCAGUCCUAUUGAGACUGUAGUAACCUAAUUACAAGUCCUAUUGAGACUGUAGUAACCUGGUCACCAGUCCUUUCUUAUUAAGGCUGUAGUAACUUGGUUUACUCCCCUCUGCCAACCUUGGACACUCCUCGCCACUAAUGUUGUACUCCCCCCUUCUUUUUUACAUUCAGCUCAGCCAGAGUUUUAAUGCAAUGUCCAGUUGUGCUCUCUUGUGGAUGCUGCAUGACUGAAGUAGUGAUUGUUCUUCAUAUUGUUGGCAUGGCCUUGAUCUGGGAGUAAAGUGUUCUUUCCCAGUUAUGUCAUAUUAAUUUUGUCUGAACUAUAUUUGUCUGAUGUAUCUCACACAGACACCUAAUAUAAAGAAUACUAAAAACAAAAAGUAAUAUGAAAUGGGCCUAGAGUCAUAAAUAUUGUUGUUUCAAAAGUGUCUACUUCAUGUAUUGGCUUGGAAAUAAUUUCUUGAAAAACCCCCAAAAUAAAACAUUAAAAAGCUGCAUAAUAGCAUUGAUUUUCUCUUACUUGAGUCAAGGUUAAUGAUCGAUCUAUAACACAUUGCCAUGUAUCAUAAUACUCCAAUUCAACAUCUCCCAAAAUGUUGAAUUCCCCUUCACUUCACCUUAAAACCUUUGCAUUAAAACUUGAAUCCAGGUUUUACCAAUCUUCAUAUGUACAGUCUGCAUUUAACCAGAUUUCCUACAUCAUGGGUCAACAGCCACUGAUGGAUACUGCCCAGUUGCCACAUCCCACCUCCAUGACAUGUGAAUAAUCACUCUACUAUAUUCCUUUUCCUUGGAAAAUUUGACAUUUGUAAACAUGGUAAAACGUUGCUUCUUGUAUGAUUAAACAAUCCUGUUUUAAUUAACAGGAGAUUUGAAAUGGAUCGGGAUCCUACAAAUGCACGUUAUUGUGCAGAGUGUGGGAAGAUGCAUCCUGCUGAAGAGGGCGACUUUUGGGCUGAAUCCAGUAUGCUUGGACUGAAAAUAACCUAUUUUGCCAUGAUGCAAGGAAAGGUGUUUGACAUAACUGGUAAGAAAUAGCCAUUGAAGCUGUGUUUGCACACAUAGCUAUGUUCUAAAGGGUCACUCCAGCCACCAUGACCACUUCUACUUUUAGAGAUGCUCAUGUUGGUAGGAGUCUGGAUAUGCAGUGAUUCAGUUUGAAACACUGCACAUAAACUGUUAUUGGCACUUGUGUGUCGGGGGCAAGUUGCUGCCAAGACCUCUAUUCCAGGCUGUGUAAUGUCAGUUCUGCGCAUAUUUCACAUCUGAUGUCAGUGUGUGCUUGCAACGAACGUUAUCAGUUUCUCCAUUGCAGACAGUGUGUCUCUCCCUCCCUUCUUGUCUAUAGCCCUGACACCUCUCUAUAGAAAUAAAAAUGGUGCAGCACUCUUCAAUGUUUAGAAGUUCCCUUUCUUGUGCACUCACAGCAGCUAUUUUAUCAAGCCAUAAAGUGAAAUCAAACUUGGUGCAGUUAAAUAGCAGUGCAAAUCAGUCAUGUGCUAGUCAUAUGACCUCAGAGAAACAAGUAUAGAAUGUCUGCAAUAUGCAAAUAUAAUGUGACGGUACAUAUAGUUUGUAAAGGUGCACAUGAUUCAGUAUUAACCAGUAUCUACAAUGUGUAAUAAUUAAAAUAAAGAUAAGUUUGUAUAAUAAAACGUAUUAUCCUAAAACAAUUUAGUAAUUCUUAAUGCAGCACAUAUUUUUUAUUACUACAUGAUGUGCAGGGUAAAGCUGGUAUCUUAGAUACUUAACAAAACUGGUAUUUUGACUGAUCUGUGGGGUCAUAUCUAAAGAUCUGUCAGUCACUUGUUUUAUUGUUCUUAUUUUGCUAUAGAAUGGGCAGGAUGUCAGCGGGUGGGUAUUUCUCCUGACACUCACCGUGUUCCAUAUCACAUCUCAUUUGGCUCAAGGAAUCCCACAAGUACAGGACGACAAAGGUAUAGAUUGAUAAUUUCAUGCUGUUUAUUGAAAGGGAUGACUUGAAAUUGAUGUAAAGUCCCUCCAUGCCCCUAAAAACCCUAAUGUAAUUCUCAUAAUGGGUAGGUUUUUACCUUUAUUUUCUUUCUACUAAGUGUAUUCCUUAAGGCAUGAAAGUUUAAUUAAGGGAAUGGUAAAGCCAUCCAGAUUAAACAGUUUUACUUUUUAAGUGGAUACACCAUAUAAAAAGUUUGUGCUUUUAAAUGGGGGCCGUCACUCCUCUAGAACAUUAUAUCCUUGAAUAAACCUUUACCUUGUCUUAAUUUUUUAUUUUUAUAUAUUUAUAUUGUGUUGCUCACUUUUAUUUUAAAUGUAUACUAAAGGGAGACUCUUAAGCACCCUAAUGAAUGAUCAAUCAUGCCCCUGCGGUCUUGAUGCUCAAUUUGCAGCCAUUAAGGAGUCAAAUAAUCUUGUUUCUGCAGCCUUGACCAAGCUUCUCUUUUGAAGUAACACACAGCCUACCUAUUCUGUUUCUUUAAAAAAAUUUGAUUUUUAAACUUCCUUUAUUGCACAAUAAUCUAGAAUGUUAUGUCUCCUGCCCUGACAAUUGCCUACUGGUACCUACUGCAGCCUCCUCUGUGUGAUUUAAAGUGUAAUUUACAGAGCGGGAGAUAAGACAUUCUAAAAGUAAAUACACUGUGUUGUAAAAAUGAAAAAAAAAUUUUUUUUUUUUUUUUUCUUGAAGGCUGUGUGAGUUGUCAUCAUGUGAGGUGUGACUAUGUCUGCAUAAACAAAAUGAUUUAAAGGGACACUAUAGUCACCUGAACAACUUUAGCUUAAUGAAGCAGUUUUGGUGUAUAGAACAUGCCCCUGCAGCCUCACUGCUCAAUCCUCUGCCAUUUAGGAGUUAAAUCCCUUUGUUUAUGAACCCUAGUCACACCUCCCUGCAUGUGACUUGCACAGCCUUCCAUAAACACUUCCUGUAAAGAGAGCCCUAUUUAGGCUUUCUUUAUUGCAAGUUCUGUUUAAUUAAGAUUUUCUUAUCCCCUGCUAUGUUAAUAGCUUGCUAGACCUGAAAGAGCCUCCUGUAUGUGAUUAAAGUUCAAUUUAGAGAUUGAGAUACAAUUAUUUAAGGUAAAUUACAUCUGUUUGAAAGUGAAACCAGUUUUUUUUUUUUCAUGCAGCUCUGUCAAUCAUAGCCAGGGGAGGUGUGGCUAGGGCUGCAUAAACAGAAACAAAGUGAUUUAACUCCUAAAUGACAGUGAAUUGAGCAGUGAAAUAGCAGGGGAAUGAUCUAUGCACUAAAACUGCUUUAUUUAGCUAAAGUAAUUUAGGUGACUAUAGUGUUCCUUUAACUCCUAAAUGGCAAGAACAUGAUCUAUACACUAAAACUGCUUCAUUGAGCUAACGUUGUUUUGGUGCUUUGAGUAUUCGUUUAAAGACUAAGCAAUUGACAAAAAAAACCUGGUCCAGUCACAGCAAGAGCACACAUUGCAUCGGAGGAGGACAAACAAACUAUUUGUGUCCUACAUUUGUUAAAUGUAGGGGAUGCAUAACACCGCAAAUGUGAUGGCACCACUUGUAUUAUUGGUCUCUUCCAAUCUUCUAACAUUAUUUGAUCUGGCAUUUGCUUGCUGUUAUGUAUCCACACUCUAUUAUUGUAAAGCAUCGCAAAAUAUGUUGGCAAUAUAGAAAUAAGGAUUAUAGUAAUGUAUAUUUUAGUUGUCUAUAAUUGUGAUGGUUCAGGCACUUGCCAUUGUUUUGAGCAUGCAUAAUUAAAGUCUAUUUGCUUAGGGCCUGUUUUACGGGUGUGUAAUUGCACUAGCAGGGACUGAACUAGUGCAGUGGGGUGCAACCUCUAUGAUGUCAAAUUGGUGUGUUAUGAUGCAUCUUUAAGGGUGCCUUAACAAGUUUAAGGAGACAUGACUUUCACACUCUGCUGAUCAGUGCCCACUUAUGGACAAUUGUCAUGUCACCAUUAGGCAGCAUGUGCACAGUGCCUGGCAUUUGUAAGGCACAAAUUUACUGUUGGAGCUUUUUGAGUUUAACAGAGUGUCUUUCUUUCUGUGAGGGUGCAAGAAUAUCAGAGUUUAUGUGGGAGCAUUUGUGAUUGUUUUGUUUGUUUCUGAGGGUGCCAGUAAGAAUGUGUCUAAGUGCAUUUUUUCCCCCGAGUGUUUGACUUUAAUAAGGACUGUGUAUUACUGCCUUUGAGAGCUCUCUCUGCCUGGUUUUGGUUUUUAGUUUAUUUUUGAAUGGUAAAUAAACAGUUUUAAAAACAAAAUAAUCAAACCCUUCUAAAUAGAUACACUGUUGUAGGUUGAGCUUUCCCCAUUUUAAAUAUGUACAAAAGGAGCCACGAUUAUGAAUCUGUGGGUUAUUAUUGUUUCUUUCGGAUAUGACACUGGAAGACAAUGGUUCUCCUGAAUGCUAAUGGUCACUUAGCAUAGCAAAAUAAUCCACUGUCUGAGAGGUGAUCUGGGCAUAUGGUAGAUUAGAAACAUAGAAUGUGACGGCAGAUAAGAACCAUUCGGCCCAUCUAGUCUGCUCAAUUUUCUAAAUACCUUAUCUUAUAGUUAGGAUAGCUUUAUGCCUAUCCCACGUAUGCUUAAACUCCUUUACUGUGUUAACCUCCACCACUUCAGUUGGAAGGCUAUUCCAUGCAUCCACUACCCUCUCAGUAAAGUAAUACUUCCUGAUAUUAUUUUUAAACCUUUGCCCCUCUAAUUUAAGACUGUCCUCUUGUUGUGGUAGUUUUUCGUCUUUUAAAUAUGGUCUCCUUUACUGUGUUGAUUCCCUUUAUGUAUUUAAAUGUUUCUUUCAUAUCCCCCCUGUCUCGUCUAUCCUCCAAGCUAUACAUGUUAAGAUCCUUUAACCUUUCCUGGUAAGUUUUAUCUUGCAAUCCAUGAACCAGUUUAGUAGCCCUUCUCUGAACUCUCUCUAAGGUAUCAAUAUCCUUCUGAAGAUACAGUCUCCAGUACUGCGUACCAUACUCCAAGUUAGGUCUCACCAGUGUUCUGUACAAUGGCAUAAGCACUUCCCUCUUUCUACUGCUAAUGCCUCUCCCUAUACAACCAAGCAUUCUGCUAGCAUUUCCUGCUGCUCUAUUACAUUGUCUGCCUACCUUUAAGUCAUCAGAAAUAAUCACCCCUAAAUCCCUUUCCUCAGAUGUUGAGGUUAGGACUCUAUCAAAUAUUCUGUACUCUGCCCUUGGGUUUUUACGUCCAAGAUGCAUUAUCUUGCAUUUAUCCACAUUAAAUGUCAGUUGCCACAAUUCUGACCAUUUUUCUAGUUUACCUAAAUCAUUUGUCAUUUGGCUUAUCCCUCCUGGAACAUCAACCUUGUUACAUAUCUUAGUAUCAUCAGCAAAAAGACAUACCUUACCAUCAAGACCUUCUGCAAUAUCACUAAUAAAAAUAUUAAAGAUAAUGGGUCCAAAUACAGAUCCCUGAGGUACCCCACUGGUGACAAGCCCAAGCUUCGAAUAUACUCCAUUGACUACAACCCUCUGUUGCCUGUCACUCAGCCACUGCCUUACCCAUUCAACAAUAUUGGAAUCCAAACUUAAAGAUUGCAGUUUAUUGAUAAGCCUUCUAUGUGCAACAGUGUCAAAAGCCUUACUGAAAUCUAGGUAAGCAAUGUCUACUGCACCACCCUGAUCUAUUAUUUUAGUUACCCAAUCAAAAAAAUCAAUAAGAUUACUUUGGCAGGAUCUCCCUGAAGUAAACCAAUGUUGUCUCUGAUCUUGAAAUCCAUGUGUUUUUAGAUGUUUAACAAUCCUAUUCUUUAACAUGGUUUCCAUUACUUUCCACACUACUGAAGUAAGGCUUACUGGCCUAUAGUUGCUCGACUCCUCCCUACUACCUUUCUUGUGAAUGGGCACAACAUUCUGACUUCCAAUCUUCUGGGACUACUCCUGUUAACAAUGAUUGGUUAAAUAAAUCUGUUAAUGGUUUUGCUAGUACACCACUAAGCUCUUUUAAUAGCUUUGGGUGUAUUCCAUCAGGUCCCAUUGACUUAUUUGUCUUUACUUUUGACAGUUGAAAUAGAACCUCUUCCUCUGUAAACUCACAUGUAAUAUGACUCAUUUGCCCUUUUUCCUAACUGAGGUCCCUUUCCUUCAUUUUCAUUAGCCAGUUUAUAUAAGCUAGAUUUGGAGAGAACUCAUGUGUAACAUUUCACACCUUGCAAAUGAGCUCUGUAAUCAGUUUCAGAACAGGAAUCCAUGUUGUAAUCCUUCUGACAUCUAUCAUAUUUCUAUACAAUUGCAUUUAACCCUCCUUGUGCUGAAAUUGACAAUACUGGCUCUACCAGGCAGCCGAUCCAUGUAUUCGAUACACAAAUCCCAUUAAAUAGCAAUAUUCUAUAGUGCAACAAUGAAUUAUGCACCCUUGACAUGACAUGCUUUACUUCAGAUCAAGCCAUUCAGUUUGCAAAGAAAAAGAAUCUGCAAGAAAACUUUACUUAAAUCAUGUAUUGAAGUAAAAAUAAAAUGUAUUUUUUUUUCUCCUGUACAUAAUCUAUCUUAAUCAUGUUAAUGUUUUGAAUGUGGAAAAUUCCUGGGCAAAGUUCUGAAAUGGUGUAAUCAGCAGAUGGUGAAAAUGACCUAUUAAUUUCUUUUCGCAGGGCUCCAUCAGAAAACGGUCCAUCUUCUGUUGCUGAUCUUCAAAACCUCUUGAGCAGAAUAUUCCAAGGAUCUCCGGGUCAAAUGCCUAAUAGGAAUGUUUUCAAUACCCCACAGGGAGCUCAAUCUCCGUCAGGACCAGUUAAACCAGACAGUGCUCCAAGAAGUGACACAAAGGCCAAGCGGAAAAAGAAAGUUAGACGUCCUCUUCAAAAAUGAACCAGAACAUCGACGUACGACCAUUUGCUUACCAGAUAGGUGCAUUACAUUUGACCUACAUAGACGGGGUUAAAAUGUUUGCCCACAAAAGCUAAAGUUGGAUGGCCAUGACCUCUCUCUACCUUGAUUAACCAAUACUGCAGAUGUCCCCAUGUCCCUGACCAUCCUGGACUGUAUUCAAUUUGGCCUGAGCCAAGCUGCCAAGGGCUUAAAACAAAUUUCAAGUCUGUUGACUUCUUUGUAUUUUUACUUUCCUGGAUGCCUAGAUUUGUGACACCUUGUUUCAACCCCAUGUAUAAUAAUUUUAUGGGAUUUUUUUACUGACUGCAAAGAUUUCCUUUUUGUUUUCUUCCUCUAAAAGUGAACAUGUCUUCUCAUCAUACCAAAGAUACCUGGUGUACACAACUUUCUGGGUAUAGGACAAAUACUUCUGUGCAUGUAAUUUGUGAGACCAGGUUAUUGCAGACAGGGAAUGGAUACAUCCUUGAAUGUAUAAAUUACUUGUACAUAAACACAGGAAUCUUUUUUUGUUAACUAUUGUAUUUUCUUGCUUUUUACAACAUACUUGGUUGCUAGUGCCAUUGCCUUUUGAUUACUUUUCUUUGAAAUUUGUUGUAAAGGAUAUUAUUGGACACUUAAAAGUGAAGAAGCUGACCAUUAUACCAUAAUCUUUCAUAAUUCUUCCAAUCUCAUACAGAGUUAUUCCUAAAGGUGUAAAUUGCCAAGAAUUCAAAGUGAAUUUUAACUAUAGCCAGCUGGAACAAUUCUAAAAUUUAGCAGUUUUUCGUUUGGCUAUUUUGGCCCAAAAUUAAAAAUUCACUCUGACAACACUUUCAGUUCUUGACAAUUCCUGCUUCAGUGAAUAACAGUAUAUUUGAUUAGAUAAAGCUGAGUGUGGUGCUUUAUCUCAAUCUCUAAGGAGGGUGGGAAGAUUUGUAACUUUGUAUAGGGAAACGGUGUCAUUUUUAUUACGAGUAGUAUUUAUAUUAGUGGCCUCUCUGUGUAGCAUUGUAAAAUGCAUACAUACAAGUAAAAAUCUAAUUUCAGUGCAAGAGAGAGGAUAGUUUUAAGCUCUAUUUUCAGACUUAAUGCAUCAGAUCAGUCAGGUAAAACCAUGUAAGUAAUAAAGAGCCAAUACAUGUUAAAGGAUCAUUAUAGGGUCAGGAACACAAACCUGUACUCCUGACCCCAUAGUGCUAAACCCACCAUAUAGGUGGCUUGGCCCCCCUAUAAAAGUUUAAAACGCACCUUAUUUCCAGCGCAGCGAGUGUCUGCAGGCACUGGCUCCGCCCCCUUUGUGACAUCAAAAUUGCUGAUUUUUAGCCAAUCCAAUGCUUUCCCAAAGGGAAAGCAUUGGAUUGGCUAAAAUCGGCAUGGGGCGGAGCCAAAUGCUGUUUUGGCCAAUCAGGACCUCCUCAUAGAUCCAUUGAAUCAAUGCAUCUCUAUGAGGAAAAUUCAGUGUCCCCAUGCAGAAUGUGGGGCAGCUGAAGGGCAGGCCUGCUUUCUGUGCAGCCCUGAAACAGGAAGCACCUCCAGUGGCCACUUGGAGGUGUCCCUAGGGCAAUGUAAACACUGCUUUUUCUCUGAAAAGGCAGUGUUUACAUGAAAAUGCCUGAAGGCAAUGAUUAUACUCACUAGAAUAACUACAUUAAGCUGUCCCUUUAAUGAAUGUCUUAAUGUCAUGUACCCACCGGGUAUCUCUAAAACACUUUGAGCCAGGUGAAGACAUUCAAACCGUGCAUUGUUUAUGGGCAGGUACGUGCACAGGUAAAGUUAGCCAUACCCCCAGAACAUGGGUAAACCAGAAGAGGUAUUGAAGAGCAUUACUUGUAUGUACGGCAGAAUAAAACACAGGAAAUAUGACAUAUUUUGUAAUAAGAGAAAGAUACAGAUUUUCCUUUAAUUGGUUACCUAAGGUUUGUAUUGCGUCACUGUAACAAAAUGAUGAGAAAAUGCAAAAUCCCUCAGGAUUAACAAAUAGGAAUCAACACACUCUUCUGGUGUUAACAUCUCUGACCCCUGCUAGUACAAUGCUGCAGUUCCUUGGAACCACUUAAAACUCUGCGUCCUCUAUGGCAUUAUAUUCAUAGUCCAGAUGAUAUACUAACCAUCCAGUCUGUCGCUUUCCUCACUUUUAAAAUAAAUAUAUCCUUGGGCAGCGGAAGUGUCAUUGCUGUCACAAGCUUUACUGCAACAGUAUUUGAAAAUGGCAAGGGAGUCUGUGGUCACUUGCACAGAUGACUUGCAAAUUCUGGUCAGGGCUGGCCAAUCUAUCAUUAUAGUAAAUUUUGUCAGGAACAGUGUUUAGGACAAUCAAUUUUAGCAAAAUGUCUCUUCUCUACGUAUUUUAUAUUACCUGAUUUGUACAAGUCUACUUUCAUGAUAUCUUUCAGUCUUGAAGGCCCAUGUUUGCUACGCAGUGUGGUAUUAGAAGCAGGUAACUGUUGGAAGAACCAUUCAAGAGAAAAUUUGACCAGGUUUGUCAGGAGGUCUCAUGGAAGAGGACCACAUAGUGAUUUCAUUUUACUUUGGUCCAUCGCAGUAGAUGGGUUACAAUAGAAUACCUGUAGCCUUUAAUUAUUAUCUUGUGCACCCAGGCUGUGCUAUAAUUCUAAUCUUCUGCAGUUUUUAAAUCUGAUUUAAAUAUUUGGAAAAUCACUAAGAUGUACAAUUGAUGAGUGAUUUUCUAGGCAUCGUAUUAAAACAACAAAUCAACAUCACAUUUUCCAAGUAAAUUUGAGAUAUUGCUAUUGCUCAGAGAACUAUAUUGUAAAUUGAAGUAUGAUCCUCAGGACUGAGGGGUUAUAACAGCCUUGUAUAACAUUUUGUUAAAUUA